rnacentral:rRNA from 1 species
CCCUACGGGGYGCACCAGGCGCGCAAACUUUACAAUGCGAGCAAUCGUGAUAAGGAAACCCUGAGUGCCUGUCGAUGCAGGCUGUUCAUAUAUCUAAAUCAUAUGUGAAGAAAGGGCAGGGCAAGWCCGGUGC